GAGUUAGCAGCAGCAGUAGUAGUAGAGCCCUCCUUAUGCUGUCUUCGCACCAUUUUGUAUCACGGCUAC
rnacentral:ribozyme from 1 species